CGAACGCUGGCGGCAUGCCUAAUACAUGCAAGUCGAACGAUCACUUCGGUGGUAGUGGCGCACGGGUGCGUAACGCGUGGGAAUCUACCCUUGGGUUCGGAAUAACGUUUGGAAACGGACGCUAAUACCGGAUGAUGACGAAAGUCCAAAGAUUUAUCGCCCAAGGAUGAGCCCGCGUAGGAUUAGCUAGUUGGUGGGGUAAAGGCCCACCAAGGCGACGAUCCUUAGCUGGUCUGAGAGGAUGAUCAGCCACACUGGGACUGAGACACGGCCCAGACUCCUACGGGAGGCAGCAGUAGGGAAUAUUGGACAAUGGGGGCAACCCUGAUCCAGCAAUGCCGCGUGAGUGAUGAAGGCCUUAGGGUUGUAAAGCUCUUUUACCCGGGA
rnacentral:rRNA from 1 species